rnacentral:rRNA from 1 species
UUUAUGGAGAGUUUGAUCCUGGCUCAGGAUGAACGCUGGCGGCGUGCCUAAUACAUGCAAGUCGAGCGAACAGAUAAGGAGCUUGCUCCUUUGACGUUAGCGGCGGACGGGUGAGUAACACGUGGGUAACCUACCUAUAAGACUGGAAUAACUCCGGGAAACCGGGGCUAAUGCCGGAUAACAUGUUGAACCGCAUGGUUCUACAGUGAAAGACGGUCUUGCUGUCACUUAUAGAUGGACCCGCG